AGAACGAACGCUGGCGGCAGGCUUAACACAUGCAAGUCGAGCGCCCCGCAAGGGGAGCGGCAGACGGGUGAGUAACGCGUGGGAACAUACCCUCCGGUUCGGAAUAGCUCAGGGAAACUUGGAUUAAUACCGGAUACGGCCUAGCGGCGAAAGAUUCAUCGCCGGAGGAUUGGCCCGCGUCUGAUUAGCUAGUUGGUAGGGUAAUGGCCCACCAAGGCGACGAUCAGUAGCUGGUCUGAGAGGAUGAUCAGCCACAUUGGGACUGAGACACGGCCCAAACUCCUACGGGAGGCAGCAGUGGGGAAUAUUGGACAAUGGGCGCAAGCCUGAUCCAGCCAUGCCGCGUGAGUGAUGACGGCCUUAGGGUUGUAAAGCUCUUUCGCUAGGGACGAUAAUGACGGUACCUAGACAAGAAGCCCGGCUAACUUCGCGCCAGCAGCCGC
rnacentral:rRNA from 1 species